rnacentral:lncRNA from 1 species
AUGGCUUGUAUUCUUGUUGGCCCUUUUGUAUAAUGGUGUUGGAUGGCAGUCUUCUGGGAAUUUAAAGCUUGACAGAAAAUGCUGAACAGGAAGAGAACARGGCUAGAGGAAACAAGUGAUCCAGUUUACAACAUGGCUUUUGAAACAUCUGCAUUGGUACCACUGGGGGAGUGGUAAGAAUGGCUGGUGGGAGAAUAGAUAACAUCUUUAACCAGUUUUGCUGAUGAAGAGAGCAUUAUGGAAUUACACUCUGACAUAUGAAAAUGAGCCAGUGAAGCUGUACCUUUUUGAUAGCCAUCCCAGAAGUUGGGAAGUCAUACUAAGAAUAUCAUCACUCCAUAAGAAAAGGAUCAACACAAAAAGCCUCUGCACUGCGUAUUUGGUAAGCAUAAAUCUAAAAGUAUUUUCAAAAUAAUCAAGCUACAGAAAGCAGACAUUUCAAAUUUUACUUGCCUCAGCUACAACAAAUCUACAAAUAUGCACAUUAAGGAAAUAUUUGGAGUUUUCAAAAGAAAUGGAAUACUUCUUGAUAAGGGAAAUGAUGGAGUAAAACUGCAGAAAUCUUUGUUCUG